rnacentral:rRNA from 1 species
UACGGAGGGUGCAAGCGUUAAUCGGAAUUACUGGGCGUAAAGCGCACGCAGGUGGCUGAGUCAGUCGAUUGUGAAAGCCCUGGGCUUAACCUGGGAAUUGCAGUCGAUACUACUCAGCUAGAGUAUGGGAGAGGGUAGUGGAAUUCCCGGUGUAGCGGUGAAAUGCGUAGAUAUCGGGAGGAACAUCAGUGGCGAAGGCGGCUUCCUGGACACCAACUGACGCUGAGACGCGAAAGCGUGGGGAGCAAACAGG